rnacentral:rRNA from 1 species
UACGGAGGGUGCAAGCGUUAUCCGGAAUCACUGGGCGUAAAGGGCGCGUAGGUGGUCUGUUAAGUCUGGCGUUAAAGCCUGGGGCUCAACCCCAGAUCAGCGUUGGAUACUGGCAGGCUAGACGGUUGGAGAGGCGAGUGGAAUUACCAGUGUAGCGGUGGAAUGCGUAGAUACUGGUAGGAACACCCAUUGCGAAGGCAGCUCGCUGGACAACACGUGACACUGAGGCGCGAAAGUGUGGGGAGCAAACCGGAUUAGAUACCCCUGUA